GAACUACCCUCACUCCCCAUUACCAGGCAACCCAACACCACCAGUUACAACGGUGUACCCUACCCACCAGAUGUAAAACCAAAUAUGAUUGCACCAGCAGCCAUCAAGAAAGAAAUUGAUGAGUUGCGACUAACAUUUUGAGUAUGGGAUGGUGUUGUUUUGCCACCAUUUAGACUGGAACACAAUCUAGCAGUCAGUAAUCAUGUCUUCCACCUCUUGAGUCAGUCUACCAAACAUUGAUGUGGAGGUCCGAUUUAGAACUUCAGUUGAAGUGUUUUCAUCAUGAAGAUAGACAGAUGAAUACAAAUUGGCCGGCAUCUGCAUCGAUCAGUGUUAACACAACUUCAUUACAAAUACAGCGUGCAGAAAAAUAAAAUGGCACGUCAGCCUCUUUACCUCAAGGAAGUUUGCCGGCCGGGUCGAAAUACAAUACAGAUCACUGUUACUGCAUGU
rnacentral:lncRNA from 1 species